rnacentral:rRNA from 1 species
UAGUGGCGGACGGGUGAGUAACGCGUGGGAAUCUGCCCUCAGGAGGGGGAUAACGGUUGGAAACGACCGCUAAUACCCCAUAUGCCGAGAGGUGAAACGAAAUUCGCCUGAGGAUGAGCCCGCGUCUGAUUAGCUAGUUGGUGGGGUAAAGGCCUACCAAGGCAUCGAUCAGUAGCUGGUCUGAGAGGAUGAUCAGCCACACUGGGACUGAGACACGGCCCAGACUCCUACGGGAGGCAGCAGUGGGGAAUUUUCCGCAAUGGGCGCAAGCCUGACGGAGCAACGCCGCGUGAGGGAUGAAGGCCUCUGGGCUGUAAACCUCUUUUAUCAAGGAAGAAGAUCUGACGGUACUUGAUGAAUAAGCCACGGCUAA